rnacentral:rRNA from 1 species
GACGGAGGGGGCUAGCGUUGUUCGGAAUUACUGGGCGUAAAGCGCGCGUAGGCGGCGCAUUAAGUCAGAGGUGAAAGCCCGGGGCUCAACCCCGGAAUUGCCUUUGAGACUGGUGUGCUUGAGUACGGAAGAGGUGAGUGGAAUUCCCAGUGUAGAGGUGAAAUUCGUAGAUAUUGGGAAGAACACCAGUGGCGAAGGCGGCUCACUGGUCCGUAACUGACGCUGAGGUGCGAAAGCGUGGGGAGCAAACAGGAUUAGAUACCCCGGUAGUCC